GUAGGUGGCAAGCGUUGUCCGGAAUUAUUGGGCGUAAAGCGCGCGCAGGCGGUUCUUUAAGUCUGAUGUGAAAGCCCACGGCUCAGCCGUGGAGGGUCAUUGGAAACUGGAGAACUUGAGUACAGAAGAGGAAAGCGGAAUUCCACGUGUAGCGGUGAAAUGCGUAGAGAUGUGGAGGAACACCAGUGGCGAAGGCGGCUUUCUGGUCUGUAACUGACGCUGAGGCGCGAAAGCGUGGGGAGCAAACAGGAUUAGAUACCCUGGUAGUCCACGCCGUAAACGAUGAGUGCUAAGUGUUAGGGGGGUUUUCCGCCCCCCUUAGUGCUGCAGCUAACGCAUUAAGCACUCCGCCUGGGAGUACGGCCGCAAGGCUG
rnacentral:rRNA from 1 species